UACGUAGGGGGCAAGCGUUGUCCGGAAUCAUUGGGCGUAAAGAGCGUGUAGGCGGCCCGGUAAGUCCGCUGUGAAAGUCGGGGGCUCAACCCUCGAAUGCCGGUGGAUACUGUCGGGCUAGAGUGCGGAAGAGGCGAGUGGAAUUCCUGGUGUAGCGGUGAAAUGCGCAGAUAUCGGGAGGAACACCGGUGGCGAAGGCGGUUCUCUGGGCCUUACCUGACGCUGAGGAGCGAAAGCGUGGGGAGCGAACAGG
rnacentral:rRNA from 1 species